GCCAGUGUGGUGUAGUGGUUUCUGAAUUGGACUAUGACUCUAGAGACCAGGGUUCAAAUCCCUGCUCAAGCA